GAUGAAGAACGCAGCGAAAUGCGAUAAGUAGUGUGAAUUGCAGAAUUCAGUGAAUCAUCGAAUCUUUGAACGCACAUUGCGCCCCAUGGUAUUCCAUGGGGCAUGCCUGUUCGAGCGUCAUUUACCCCCUCAAGCUCCGCUUGGUGUUGGGCGUCUGUCCCGCUUCGCGCGCGGACUCGCCCCAAAGGUAUUGGCAGCGGUCGUGCCAGCUUCUCGCGCAGCACAUUGCGCUUCUCGAGGCACCGGUGGGCCCGCGUCCAUCAAGCUCACCCCCCCAGUUUGACCUCGGAUCAGGUAGGGAUACCCGCUGAACUUAAGCAUAUCAAUAAGCGGAGGA
rnacentral:misc_RNA from 1 species